CAGCCGCCACGGUAAAACGGAGGGUGCAAGCGUUAAUCGGAAUUACUGGGCGUAAAGCGCACGCAGGCGGUCUGACAAGUCAGAUGUGAAAUCCCCGGGCUUAACCUGGGAACUGCAUUUGAAACUGUCAGGCUGGAGUCUUGUAGAGGGGGGUAGAAUUCCAGGUGUAGCGGUGAAAUGCGUAGAGAUCUGGAGGAAUACCGGUGGCGAAGGCGGCCCCCUGGACAAAGACUGACGCUCAGGUGCGAAAGCGUGGGGAGCAAACAGGAUUAGAUACCCGAGUAGUCCCUGUCUCUUAUAC
rnacentral:rRNA from 1 species